CGUAGGGUGCGAGCGUUGUCCGGAAUUAUUGGGCGUAAAGAGCUCGUAGGCGGCCUGUUGCGUCUGCUGUGAAAGCCCGGGGCUUAACCCCGGGUCUGCAGUGGAUACGGGCAGGCUAGAGUUCGGCAGGGGAGACUGGAAUUCCUGGUGUAGCGGUGGAAUGCGCAGAUAUCAGGAGGAACACCGGUGGCGAAGGCGGGUCUCUGGGCCGAUACUGACGCUGAGGAGCGAAAGCGUAGGGAGCGAACAGGAUUAGAUACCCUGGUAGUCCACGCCGUAAACGUUGGGCGCUAGGUGUGGGGUCCCUUCCACGGGUUCCGUGCCGUAGCUAACGCAUUAAGCGCCCCGCCUGGGGAGUACGGCCGCAAGGCUA
rnacentral:rRNA from 1 species